rnacentral:rRNA from 1 species
ACGUAGGGAGCAAGCGUUAUCCGGAUUUACUGGGUGUAAAGGGCGCGCAGGCGGGCCGGCAAGUUGGAAGUGAAAUCCGGGGGCUUAACCCCCGAACUGCUUUCAAAACUGCUGGUCUUGAGUGAUGGAGAGGCAGGCGGAAUUCCGUGUGUAGCGGUGAAAUGCGUAGAUAUACGGAGGAACACCAGUGGCGAAGGCGGCCUGCUGGACAUUAACUGACGCUGAGGCGCGAAAGCGUGGGGAGCAAACAG